rnacentral:rRNA from 1 species
GAUGAACGCUAGCUACAGGCUUAACACAUGCAAGUCGAGGGGAAACGGCAUUGAGUGCUUGCACUCUUUGGACGUCGACCGGCGCACGGGUGAGUAACGCGUAUCCAACCUUCCCAUUACUGUGGGAUAACCUGCCGAAAGGCAGACUAAUACCGCAUAGUCUUCGAUGACGGCAUCAGAUUUGAAGUAAAGAUUUAUCGGUAAUGGAUGGGGAUGCGUCUGAUUAGCUUGUUGGCGGGGUAACGGCCCACCAAGGCGACGAUCAGUAGGGGUUCUGAGAGGAAGGUCCCCCACAUGGGAACUGAGACACGGACCAAACUCCUACGGGAGGCAGCAGUGAGGAAGAUAGUGCAAGGGACGGAAGUCUGAACCAGCCAAGUAGCGUGCAGGAUGACGGCCCUAUGGGUUGUAAACUGCUUUUGUAUGGGGAUAAAGUUAGGGACGUGUCCCUAUUUGCAGGUACCAUACGAAUAAGGACCGGCUAAUUCCGUG